GAUGAACGCUGGCGGCGUGCUUAACACAUGCAAGUCGAACGGAAAGGCCCAAGCUUGCUUGGGUACUCGAGUGGCGAACGGGUGAGUAACACGUGGGUGAUCUGCCCUGCACUUCGGGAUAAGCCUGGGAAACUGGGUCUAAUACCGGAUAGGACCACAUUUUGGAUGGUGUGGUGGAAAGUUUUUCGGUGUGGGAUGAGCUCGCGGCCUAUCAGCUUGUUGGUGGGGUAAUGGCCUACCAAGGCGUCGACGGGUAGCCGGCCUGAGAGGGUGUACGGCCACAUUGGGACUGAGAUACGGCCCAGACUCCUACGGGAGGCAGCAGUUGGGAAUAUUGCACAAUGGGCGCAAGCCUGAUGCAGCGACGCCGCGUGGGGGAUGACGGCCUUCGGGUUGUAAACUCCUUUCGCUAGGGACGAAGCGUUAUGUGACGGUACCUGGAGAAGAAGCACCGGCUAACUACGUG
rnacentral:rRNA from 1 species